rnacentral:rRNA from 1 species
GACGAACGCUGGCUUCGUGCUUAACACAUGCAAGUCGAACGGAAAGGCCCUGCUUUUGUGGGGUGCUCGAGUGGCGAACGGGUGAGUAACACGUGAGUAACCUGCCCUUGACUUUGGGAUAACUUCAGGAAACUGGGGCUAAUACCGGAUAGGAGCUCCUGCUGCAUGGUGGGGGUUGGAAAGUUUCGGCGGUUGGGGAUGGACUCGCGGCUUAUCAGCUUGUUGGUGGGGUAGUGGCUUACCAAGGCUUUGACGGGUAGCCGGCCUGAGAGGGUGACCGGCCACAUUGGGACUGAGAUACGGCCCAGACUCCUACGGGAGGCAGCAGUGGGGAAUAUUGCACAAUGGGCGGAAGCCUGAUGCAGCAACGCCGCGUGCGGGAUGACGGCCUUCGGGUUGUAAACCGCUUUCGCCUGUGACGAAGCGUGAGUGACGGUAAUGGGUAAAGAAGCACCGGCUAACUACGUGCCAGCAGCCGCGGUGAUACGUAGGGUGCGAGCGUUGUCCGGAUUUAUUGGGCGUAAAGGGCUCGUAGGUGGUUGAUCGCGUCGGAAGUGUAAUCUUGGGGCUUAACCCUGAGCGUGCUUUCGAUACGGGUUGACUUGAGGAAGGUAGGGGAGAAUGGAAUUCCUGGUGGAGCGGUGGAAUGCGCAGAUAUCAGGAGGAACACCAGUGGCGAAGGCGGUUCUCUGGGCCUUUCCUGACGCUGAGGAGCGAAAGCGUGGGGAGCGAACAGGCUUAGAUACCCUGGUAGUCCACGCUGUAAACGGUGGGUACUAGGUGUGGGGUCCAUUCCACGGGUUCCGUGCCGUAGCUAACGCUUUAAGUACCCCGCCUGGGGAGUACGGCCGCAAGGCUAAAACUCAAAGGAAUUGACGGGGCCCCGCACAAGCGGCGGAGCAUGCGGAUUAAUUCGAUGCAACGCGUAGAACCUUACCUGGGUUUGACAUGGAUCGGGAGCGCUCAGAGAUGGGUGUGCCUCUUUUGGGGUCGGUUCACAGGUGGUGCAUGGCUGUCGUCAGCUCGUGUCGUGAGAUGUUGGGUUAAGUCCCGCAACGAGCGCAACCCUUGUUCACUGUUGCCAGCACGUUAUGGUGGGGACUCAGUGGAGACCGCCGGGGUCAACUCGGAGGAAGGUGGGGAUGACGUCAAGUCAUCAUGCCCCUUAUGUCCAGGGCUUCACGCAUGCUACAAUGGCUGGUACAGAGAGUGGCGAGCCUGUGAGGGUGAGCGAAUCUCGGAAAGCCGGUCUCAGUUCGGAUUGGGGUCUGCAACUCGACCUCAUGAAGUCGGAGUCGCUAGUAAUCGCAGAUCAGCAACGCUGCGGUGAAUACGUUCCCGGG